rnacentral:snRNA from 1 species
AUCGUUUCUUGGCCUUUUGGCUGAGAUCAAGUAUACUAUCUGUUCUUUAUCAGUUUAAUAUCUGAUGUGUCCUCUGAGGACAUUAUAUGAAAUGGGUUUUUGGAAGUAGGAGUUGGGACAGGAGUUUGCUCUAUCCAUUGACCUGGUACUAUAGUACCUUUAUGCACCCCUU